ACGUCUAGGCGGAUUGAGAGAUUGACCGCCAACACUGGGACUGAGACACUGCCCAGACUUCUACGGAAGGCUGCAGUCGAGAAUCUUUCGCAAUGGACGAAAGUCUGACGAAGCGACGCCGCGUGUGUGAUGAAGGCUCUAGGGUUGUAAAGCACUUUCGCUUGGGAAUAAGAAAGAUUGGCUAAUAUCCAAUCGAUUUGAGCGUACCAGGUAAAGAAGCACCGGCUAACUCCGUGCCAGCAGCUGCGGUAAUACGGAGGGUGCUAGCGUUAAUCGGAUUUAUUGGGCGUAAAGGGCGUGUAGGCGGAAAGGAAAGUUAGAUGUUAAAUCUUGAGGCUCAACUUCAAGCCGGCAUCUAAUACUAUCUUUCUAGAGGGUAGAUGGAGAAAAGGGAAUUCCACGUGUAGCGGUGAAAUGCGUAGAUAUGUGGAAGAACACUAGUGGCGAAGGCGCUUUUCUAAUUUACACCUGACGCUGAGGCGCGAAAGCAAGGGGAGCAAACAGGAUUAGAUACCCUGGUAGUCCUUGCUGUAAACGAUGCAUACUUGAUGUGGAUAGUCUCAACCCUAUCCGUGUCGUAGCUAACGCGUUAAGUAUGCCGCCUGAGGAGUACACUCGCAAGGGUGAAACUCAAAAGAAUUGACGGGGGCCCGCACAAGCAGUGGAGCAUGUGGUUUAAUUCGAUGCAACGCGAAGAACCUUACCUGGGCUUGACAUGUAUACGAUCGCGGCAGAAAUGUCGUUUUCCGUAAGGACGGAUACACAGGUGCUGCAUGGCUGUCGUCAGCUCGUGCCGUGAGGUGUUGGGUUAAGUCCCGCAACGAGCGCAACCCUUAUCGUUAGUUGCCAGCACUUCGGGUGGGAACUCUAACGAGACUGCCUGGGUUAACCAGGAGGAAGGCGAGGAUGACGUCAAGUCAGCAUGGCCCUUAUG
rnacentral:rRNA from 1 species